rnacentral:rRNA from 1 species
GACGAACGCUGGCGGCGUGCUUAACACAUGCAAGUGGUGCGACGAACCAGGCUUCGGCCUGGGGCGAAGCCGCGAACGGGUGAGUAACACGUGGGCAAUCUGCCCCUUUGAUCGGGACAACCCGGGGAAACCCGGGCUAAUACCGAAUGAAGUGGCGACUCAUGAGAGUCGUCACGAAAGGAAUCUUCGGCCUCCGCGAAGGGAUGAGCCCGCGGCCCAUUAGCUUGUUGGUGGGGUAAUGGCCUACCAAGGCAACGAUGGGUAGCUGGUCUGAGAGGACGAUCAGCCACACUGGGACUGAGACACGGCCCAGACUCCUACGGGAGGCAGCAGUGGGGAAUAUUGCACAAUGGCCGCAAGCCUGAUGCAGCAACGCCGCGUGAGGGAUGACGGCCUUCGGGUUGUAAACCUCUUUUAGUAGGGAAGAAGCGAAAGUGACGGUACCUGCAGAAAAAGCACCGGCUAACUACGUGCCAGCAGCCGCCGUAA